GCUAGGCAACCGCCGCGGACCCGGGACGCCGUCGGCUCAGGGCAUGCUGGGAGUUGUAGUUGUUACAGCGCCGCGGACGUCAUCCUUGGGCAUCCCCGGAGCUACCCGUUCCGUGUCCGGGCCCAUGACGAGGCCCGGGGCCAGCCUGGGCGCGGGGCUUGGUGGAGGUGCUAGAGGAAUGAACCCCGGAGAGCCAGAGGAAAGCAACACCCGAGGCCUUUCAAUAGUCUGUAGGAGAGUGAAUGGUGGCCUGGAUUGGUAGGGUGAGUAGACAAGCCUGGGAGAACCACAGGAAGCAGCAGACACUGGGGUGUGGCAGGGAGGGUCAACGAGAGAGUUGGUGGCAUCCCACCUCUGAGAGGACACCUCAGCUCCUGAACUGGGUGGCCGUAGCAGCAUUUAAUGAGGAACUGGAAGUCGAAGGGCUUGGUGCUGGAAGUGUGUAGGCUAAUCUGGCGAGGCUUGGGGCGAGUGAGGAGGGCAGGGUGGAGAUCCCAUUCUGAGGGCACUGACAUUCCCAGAGCCCCUCCCUCUGGCAAAUCACGUCCUUGGGGUCCGUUCCUUCCCCUGUGCAUGCCUUCCCCUGCUAAAGAUAUCACACCCAAGAUUGUGUACCCACCAGAAAUAAAAGGAAAUACUACUUAAGACAGAAAUUUUAUUAGGUAAAAAUAAAGAACAAAAUCUUGAUAUCAGUACCUUCACAAAAAUUUUUUUUCAGGUUUAUUUUUGAGAGAGAGAGAGAGCAUGAAUGGGUGAGGGGCAGAGAAAGAGGGAGACAGAAUCUGAAGCAGAAUUCAGGCUCUGAGUCGUCUUUUUUUUUUUUUUUACGAAAUAGAGUUUUUUAUGAACUAGAAUUAAAAAGUUUUUUACGAAAUAGAGUUAAAAAAAAAUAUGUAACCUCCUUUCAACCUGCCCAAUCUAAGCACGGAUUAGCUUAGAAACAUGGAGUCAUUCGCUCUCUCUGAAAAUAAACAAACGUUAAAAAAAAAAAAUUCUUUAACAUUUAUAUUUGAGAGACACAGCGUGAGCAGGGGAGGGGCAGAGAGAGGGGGAGUGACAGAAAUCAAAAGCGGGCUCCAGGCUCCGAGCUGUCAGCACAGAGCCCGACGUGGGGCUUGAACCCACGAACCGCGAGAUUGUGACCUGGGCCGGCCGAAGUUGGAUGCUCAACUGACUGAGCCGCCCAGGCACCCCUUAAAAAUUUUUUUAAAAAGCAGGCCGGGGUCUAGGCCUCCAGCUGAAGCCCUAAGAUGGUCUCAUGCAGCUGCCGGGUACAGGUUCCUGGUCACUGAGCUAUUCACACUCACAGAGCACUCAGUCACAAUGGCACCCCGUUCGAGGUCCUGGGGACAUCGCAGUGACUUGGACCCGGUGCAGGCCAUGGCAGAAAAA